rnacentral:rRNA from 1 species
CAAACGACUCUCGGCAACGGAUAUCUUGGCUCAUGCAUCGAUGAAGAACGUAGCAAAAUGCGAUACUUGGUGUGAAUUGCAGAAUCCCGUGAACCAUCGAGUUUUUGAACGCAAGUUGCGCCCGAAGCCUUUUGGCCGAGGGCACGUCUGCCUGGGCGUCACAC